AGGUUCUUCAUCUAUAAAAUGAAGGGGUGGAACCGGAUUCUUCAAAUUCUACAAUUGUGUAACUUUAAGGAAAGAACAAAGGCAACUCAGAAAUCAAAGAAGGAGAGAAGAAAGGAAAAGAACUUUAGUAAAUAAUCCAGUAAUUAAUCACUAGUGCUGAUAGCCACUCCAGGUUGAAGUAACACUCUUUGGAAACACCAUAUCAAGGGGCCAGGGAUAUGGUUGGCACAUAUUUCAAAAGAUGGCAUCUAAGAGGUCUCAUCCAACUAGGCAAGCUCUGGGUUAGGAGGCAGAUCAAGGUAAGUGAGAAUUGACUUCAGUUCUCUUUCUUUGACUCUCUUCCUGCAUACAGGCCUACUUAGCCUGUUUUCCCAGCUCCUUCUCCCUCCCAUCCUCUCACUGCUCUUCCCUGCAGCCCUUCACCCCCAUCUUUUCUGACCAAUCUGGAUCAAAGUCCUCCCCUAGGGCCCCAUGGCAGGCCUCCAUCUCCAAUAUUUCCUUCUAAGGCUUUUCCCUACAGCCUCACCUAACAUACCUCUAACCGUAUCAUUCCUUGGCAAAACUUUCCAGUGGGAAAAUCUCUUUCUACCUCUUCUUCAGGCCCAGAAACUAAGGACAGGGUUUGGAUGCAUUUAGCUCACUACCGCCACUUCUAGCUCUUUGGGCCUUCCCUGUCCCCCAACAAAUUUUCUUCUAAAAGGUCCAUGUGACUGAUUUAUAAUUUAUCCCCAGUUGUACCUUUUAUUUUCUACACUUGUAGUUCAUUCAUUCAUUCAGUAAGUAUUUAUUAAAUACCUACCACAUGCCAGGCUCAGCCUUUCUUCCUAGUUCUUCUCUUGUUUUCAUCCCCAUGACUUCAGCCUCCAAGGGCAAGACUCUAAAAGUAGUUUCACCUGGGCUGCUCCACCAGCCAUUUCUCCAUUUCUCCAUUUUGGCUACAGGUGGGCUAUAAUAAUGGUCUCACUGUCCUUCAGAAAUCUUUCAAAUGACCACAGCAACACCAUCUUUCUUUUCUUCCUUUCUCUCACAACAGCUGCACCUGUACCCUCAAUCUUAUCCUUAACCCUGAGCCCAUCUCUGUUCUCUUGUCUUCUUACCCAGCUUGAUCAAUGCUUCUCUCUGUCUUAUCUACUUACUUAUUCAUCUCUGCUUCUGCUAUGGCACCUAGAACAAGGUCUUCCAUCCAUCUAAUAGGUACUUAGUAAAUAUUUGUUUAAUUGAACUGAAUUGAAUAAAAUUGGAAAAAGAAGUUCAAUAAUAGGCACAGUGAGUGGAAUACCAAGUCUGAAACAUGGCAUCUAACAGUCCUUCUCUGUUGUGUGACACAGACUAUGCCUAGAAUACUUUAUUUUGCCCAUUUCUAAGUUUCACAUUUUGCAAGAUGAAUUUUUCAAUUCUGGAGUGACUAAUUUCAUUUUUCUUUUCUCUCUCUCCUCUGUCUAUUAAUGGCUAUCUCUCUUUUACAAAUAAGGAUCUACAUUCAGAAACUUCUGUAUGUUGCUUUUUUUUCACUGAACAUUAUAUCACAAGCAUUUUACACAGUCAUUAAAUAUUCUUUUACAAUAUGAGUUCAGUGAUCACAUGAAGUUCUAGCAUGGAGCUAUAUGCAAAAAUGCUUAACUAAUUUCCAUUGCAAAAACCAUAUUUCCAGUUUUUCAAUGAACACAUGUACACUAAAUGUGGGGUGGGGGAGGUGUAAUCAUUUAACUGUAUAGAAUAUUACAUAUAAAUGUUAGGUGAAAGGAUACAAAUAUUUGUAUUGUUACUGAUAUAUAUGGGAGAAUAUCCUCCUCAAGAACUCCAAGGAACAGCAUGUACAAAUAAUUGUCAAUACUAUUAUCUUUCUUUUGAUUCACUAAAAGUGAUGUAUUUUGUAUAACAUUUUUAAAAUUACAGCUUUAUUGAAAUAAAACUUGCAUACCAAAAAUUCA